CUUCGCUGGGGGAUCUGGCAUCUUCCCCCUCGUCUCCUGCCCCCCUUCCUCGUGGGAGAGCUCACCCUCUUCGCGGCUUGAGGGGGGUGGCGACUUGGGCCUCGCUGACCUAGGGGUUGACUGAGCCCCCCUCUUCAUGGCCUUCAGGGGAGCAAGUCCCACUGAAGCCACCUUGUGCUUCCGGCUGAAAGGGUAACGAAGCGAAUUAAAAGAAAGAGAAAAACAAAAAAUCAAAAGAAAGAUCAAAAAGCUAGUACAUACCUUGCUCGGGGGGGCAGCACUCUUCUAGGAGCUUGGAGCUCCCUAAGCGCCUCCCGGAGCACCGAGGGCCGUC
rnacentral:lncRNA from 1 species